rnacentral:rRNA from 1 species
AUUGAACGCUGGCGGAAUGCUUAACACAUGCGAGUCGAGCGGGGUGAUGGUGCUUGCACUAUCACUUAGCGGCGGACGGGAGAGUAAUGCUUAGGAAUCUGCCUAUUAGUGGGGGACAACAUCUCGAAAGGGAUGCUAAUACCGCAUACGUCCUACGGGAGAAAGCAGGGGACCACUUGUGACCUUGCGCUAAUAGAUGAGCCUAAGUCGGAUUAGCUAGUUGGUGGGGUAAAGGCCUACCAAGGCGACGAUCUGUAGCGGGUCUGAGAGGAUGAUCCGCCACACUGGGACUGAGACACGGCCCAGACUCCUACGGGAGACAGCAGUGGGGAAUAUUGGACAAUGGGGGGAACCCUGAUCCAGCCAUGCCGCGUGUGUGAAGAAGGCCUUAUGGUUGUAAAGCACUUUAAGCGAGGAGGAGGCUCUUUUGGUUAAUACCCAAGAUGAGUGGACGUUACUCGCAGAAUAAGCACCGGCUAACUCUGUGCCAGCAGCCGCCGUAA